UCUUAGUAUUAGGGUUCAACUCCUUCUUCAUACACAAAGAUGACGAUUAUCGAAAUCAUUCAUCUUCUUUUAUCCUAAAUCAAGGUUGAAUUACUUGUUGAUUUCAGAGAUCUCAAAUCCCAAAUCAAGCCGAUCAAUUUAUUAGGUUAGGGUUCUUCAUUUCAUCUUCCAUUGAUGGUUGUUCAGCUGCAGGAACACCCAGCUUCUCUUGAUUCCAUUUUAAAACUGCUUCCGCAACUUCAUGAGAGACAACUUUUAAGGGCUUACAACUGAAGGAUCCAUCUAUUUACUCUGUGAGAAAUGCUUGAAAGACACUGGUUUCUGAGACACAAGGAACCAAGGGACGGGGUUAGUGAGUCCCAGUUUAACCAUUUUCGGAACAUUGAGCUAGACUAAACCAUAAAGGCUUGCGAAUUUCUCAAUAAGGAUGCUCGUUACAAGCCUCCUGAGUUGAAAUUGUAGCCAAAGUUUAUAGUGAUUACUGCACAGGAAAAUCAUCACAUCAAGUUCUUUUUAAAAUGAAUCUCCUAAUAAUGUUCCACCUGGUUAGGGUAAUGUAUGAUGACUCUUUUCUUGACCAUGGGCUCUUACGCCCUUCUAUAUAAUGCAUGAUUAACUUAUUAUAAUUACUAUACUACUAACUCAGUUUUAUUACACCAGUGAUUGUUAAGGGAAUAUUUUUGGUGUUGUAGCUAGGGGCUCGUGAACUAUAGAGUUCGAAGAAACUAAGAUUGUGUUUCCUUCUAAUUGCAACAUAAUACUUCCAACAGUCUCCAGUACGAGAUUCUUGAACUCUUCUUCUGGCACAAUUUUCUCAUCAUUUGCACCGACCAUUUUGAGCACCUCAUUCAUUAUGUGAUAGCAUACAUCAAUUUUGCAUAAGACUGUCAGGAAUGAACACAACUAGUAAUUGGUAUGAAGAUUUGUUGAACCUUAGAUGCGGUUUUCCAAUACUGAGACGAGGUUUGUUAUUUACGUGAUUGACGGCUCCACAGGGAGGCAAACUAGUUGAUGGGGUCAGUGAAUCCGGAGUUACACGCAGAUACUCCUUGGACAGUUCCCUACUGCGAUUUCUUGGGAACAACGAGGCCUACUCAUUGUCAUAUUCUGUGGGACGAAAUUGGGUUUUUAGCCGAUAACUUGCAGGAGCUAGUGCACUCACUAUCUUAUGUACAAGUCAACUGCUUCUUAAUUUUUUUUCCUUGUUUAUGGAAAAUUGUAAUAACACACUUAAAUUCUUUACUUGAUGAAGAUACCAAAGAAGCACUAUGGCGAUAUCUGUUGGGUAUGAUUGGCUAUAAAAGGGGUUGGAAACAAUCAGCAGAAAACAUCGCUGGUCCAAGACAAUCCUGCACUCUACCUGCACUGUAAAAGUUCAGAGAGGAGCUUUUUAGAUCCUCUCCAACCUUCCAUUCACCCCGGCUCGAGAAUCACCACCAUCGGUACUUCAUUCGCAUCAUCUACACCUCUCGGACAUAGGAGAAUUGCUUCUCACCUGUUUGUGAAAACUUUCAACAUCUCAUCUCUAAAACUCACCACCAGUUUCCCUCACAACUGAAUUCAUCCCGUCACCACCAUACAUUCCACCUCCACAGACCACCAUCACCUCCAUCAAUCUAUCACCAGUUCUUUCACCCAUUAAAAUGUUGUAAUUGCAGUUAUGGUUUUUCCUAAGCAACUUGUUUGGUGUUUGACUACGUAUUCUAUAAAAUUUUUGUCAUUAGACUUAUAGUAUGCGUAUGAAGGCUGGGUAACUUAAAUCUGGUAAAGAACAAGGCGACAUUGAAGGUAAACUUUGUUAAAACCUAUGUGUGAGGAGCUCUGCCUAGAAUAUGGUAUUGCUAAGCAACUAUAUUUGGUUCCCUUCAUGAUUACAAUCUUUGAGGAGGUCUUCCCAGAAGUGGAGCUCCGAGCAAUUUGCUUGCAAACACUAGAUACACUCCGCAUCCAAUUGAAUACAUACCAAAGGAAUAAAGGGACUUCCAUAGUGAGAGCUUGGCAUGUACAAAUUCAGGUCCUGACUCAUAAUUGGCGACCUUGGCUAAAAGUGGGGAGUGAAUUUUAAAUUGUUAUAACAUGUAUUUGAAAUGUAUGAGAUGUUUCUAUACUUGCAUUUGUUUUGAUAGUUCACACUUAAAUGUCAUUUCUUUUGAUAGUUCACACUUAAUGUCUCUAGUAACUUUAACAUAGACCAUGGCUUGCUUAUGCUGAUUGAUGAUGCUUGUAGGUUUGAACCCUAAUGGUACUUAUACUAAUAUAGAAUUAUGGUUACAGGGGAA